GACGAACGCUGGCGGCGUGCUUAACACAUGCAAGUCGAACGGAAAGGCCCUGCUUUUGUGGGGUGCUCGAGUGGCGAACGGGUGAGUAACACGUGAGUAACCUGCCCUUGACUUUGGGAUAACUUCAGGAAACUGGGGCUAAUACCGGAUAGGAGCUCCUGCUGCAUGGUGGGGGUUGGAAAGUUUCGGCGGUGGGGGAUGGACUCGCGGCUUAUCAGCUUGUUGGUGGGGUAGUGGCUUACCAAGGCUUUGACGGGUAGCCGGCCUGAGAGCGUGACCGGCCACAUUGGGACUGCGAUACGGCCCAGACUCCUACGGGCGGCAGCAGUGGGGAAUCUUGCACAAUGGGCGGAAGCCUGAUGCGGCAGCGCCGCGUGCGGGAUGCCGGCCUUCGGGUUGUAAACCGCUUUCGCCUGUGACGAAGCGUGAGUGACGGUAAUGGGUAAAGAAGCACCGGCUAACUACGUG
rnacentral:rRNA from 1 species